GGAGAAUGUGCCACUUGGCUAAUAAUGUGUUUUCAAAACUACAAGUUCAGUGAUGACAGGAAAGAGGGCUAAAGUAGUCCCACAGAGGCUGGUAGAAAAGGCGAAUCACACUUAAGCACCAGCAGGUUAAAAACCUGAAAGGGUGGCCCUGACAAUUCAGACUAUAGGUUUUACAGCAUGCCACUUGUGCAAUAGGAGGUCUAGGGUUGAAACUUUCAAGAAC
rnacentral:lncRNA from 1 species